rnacentral:rRNA from 1 species
UACGGAGGGUGCAAGCGUUGUCCGGAAUCACUGGGCGUAAAGGGCGCGUAGGCGGCUCGGUAAGUAGGGGGUGAAAUCCUGCGGCUUAACCGCAGGGCUGCCUUCUAAACUGUCGAGCUUGAGCACGGUAGAGGCAGAUGGAAUUCCCGGUGUAGCGGUGGAAUACGUAGAGAUCGGGAAGAACAUCAGUGGCGAAGGCGGUCUGCUGGGCCGUUGCUGACGCUGAGGCGCGACAGCGUGGGGAGCAAACAGG